GCAACAGAAGACUAUUUGGCAGAAACAGCCUAUUUUGGAAAAGAUCCUAUGUUAGCGUUAGGAGACAUCAGAUGAGUCUUAAGUGGCAGCGGGUGAUGAAGCUAUAGUGGACUCCCUUCUCCUUCGGGUAGUCUCUGUUUCAUCUUAGACUUAUGUUAGUUUAGUAGCAAAACCUCUAACGGUCAGUGAACGAAAAGAGGGAUGAACUUUAUGUCCUGUAAAUGAAUGCCUUUUCUUCCGUGACUACUUCUUUAUUGAUUCAUCUUUCUAGGUGAAUCCAUCCCGCUGAUUGAUCUUUCUCCUUAGCUUAGCCCCCACUAAUCCUCCCUUGAGUGAGAUCAUAUUCUCUCAGAAAGAAAUCCUUUACAUCCUCUUUCCGUCUUUUCCU
rnacentral:misc_RNA from 1 species